UGCGGGAUGGAGCAGUCUGGUAGCUCGUCGGGCUCAUAACCCGAAGGUCGUCGGUUCAAAUCCGGCUCCCGCUU
rnacentral:tRNA from 1 species